GGUCCCGUUGGUGUAGUGGCUAACAUGCCUGCCUGUCACGCAGCGAGAUCGCCGGUUCGACCCCGCGUCGGGACCCCCA
rnacentral:tRNA from 1 species